rnacentral:lncRNA from 1 species
ACAACUUAUGAGUACGAGGGCGAUCGUACUCAUAAGAGUAUAGUAGCCGGACUCUAUAUAUAUAUAUAUAUAUAUAUAUAUAGAGAGAGAGAGAGAGAGAGAGAGAGAGAGAGAGAGAGUAGAGAGAGAGAGGGCUACUAUACUCUUAUGAGUAUAGAGCCCUUCAUACUCAUAAGUUGUUUUCGAUGUUGGGGUUUUCAAAUGGACGAUCCACACUGUUAAACAUUCUCUAGGGUAUUUGAAACCUCUAGAAAAAAAAAUUUCGUAAUUUUUCGAAAUCAUUAUAAAGUCCAUCAAGUGGGUAUAAAAUGAACGGUCAAAACCGAACGACAUCCUAAAAAUGGAUGAUCGGAUCUUUCAAUUUAAGAUCAGAGUUUUUGAUCAUUCUUUAGGUAGUGAAUAGAAUUUUCUAUCAAAAAUUCAACCUAUUCUGAUUCUUUUUCACGGUUAAACUAGCAAAUAUCUCAUACCGGCUGUUAAAAAUUGUUAAUUUUGUGAGCUGUUGAUCGUAAGGUAAAUGAUAUCGAAAAAUUAUAAAAUUUGAUUUCUAGAAGUUUUAAAUGCUCUAGAUAAUGUUUAACGGUAUGGAUCGUCGAUUCCGAAGCUCUAUCAUCGAAACAACUUAUGAGUACGAAGGCAAUCGUACUCAUAAGAGUAUAGUAGUCGGACUCUGUAUCAAGGUUUAAAUUGUCGUGGCACGGGGGCGUGCCAUUAUGUCCCUUGCACGGUACGGCACAGGCACGCUUGCGUGCCGACACUUGUCACGCUUGCGUGCCGAUAGAUACACAUGACCUCCUACGGCACAGGCACGCUUGCGUGCCGACACUUGGCACGCUUGCGUGCCGAUAGAUACACAUGACCUCCUACUGGCACGCAGGGGUGCUGCAGCACACAGAGUGGGUUCGAGACCCCCCUGUACCGUGCCCCCUUCUUGGGGGCACGGUACGGCACAGGGCGGCACCUUCAUCCUUGCUCUAUAUAUAUAUAUAUAUAUAGUCCAGCUGGGAUACUAUCGAUAGCAUCAAGCACUUGGUGCUACUGAGUUUUCCACCGUUAGAUUUAACCCUUUGAUUAUUUUCACCCAUUAGAUUUUAUUAUUCAACCAACAACUCACUCAACCCUAGAGGGCCCACAUCAUCCUAGCCGUACAUUUCUUCAUCCAAGGGCCGAAAACCUAAUAGCACCAACAGCUUGGUGCUAUUGAUAGCAUUCCAGCAUAGUUCUAUAUAUAUAUAUAUAGAGAGAGAGAGAGAGAGAGAGAGAGAGUCCGACUACUAUACUCUUAUGAGUACGAUUGCCCUCGUACUUAUAAGUUGUUUUCGAUGAUAGAGCUUCCGAAUCGACGAUCCAUACCGUUAAACGUUAUCUAGAGCAUUUAAAAUUUUUAGAAAUCAAAUUUUAUAAUUUUUUGACAUCAUUUACCUUACAAUCAAAUGGUAACAAAAUUGAUAACUUUUAACGGCCGGUAUAAGAUACUUGUUAGUUUAACGGUGUAAAAACUUCAGAAUCGGUUGAAUUUUUGAUAGAAAAUUCUAUUCACUACCUAGAUAAAGAUCAAUAACUCCGAUCUUAAAUUGAAGGAUGCGAUCAUCUAUUUUUAGGACGUCGUUCGAUUUCGACCGUUCAUUUUAUACCCACUUGAUGGACUUUAUUAUGAUUUCGAAAGAUUACGAAAUUUAUUUUUUAGAAGUUUCAAAUACUCUAGAUCAUAUUUAACGGAGUGGAUCGUCGAUUCAGAAGCUCCAUCAUUGAAAACAACUUAUGAGUAUGAAGGAUUCUAUACUCAUAAGAGUAUAGUAGCCCUACUCUCUCUCUCUCCCUCUUUAUAUAUAUAUAUAAUUGAGCUCCUAUGCUUUUAAAAGUACCAAGUUAUUGGUGCUUGUAGAUUUUUAGCUAUUGGAUUAAAAGAUAUGCGGUUAAGAUGAUGUGGGCCCUCUAGGGUUUAGUAGGUGGUUGGUUGAAUAGUAUAAUCUAAUGGUUGAAAAUGAUCCGAGGAGUAGAUCUAACAGUAAAAAACUUACAAGCACCAAAUGCUUGGUGCUUUUACAAGCACCAUAGCUGGACUCUAUAUAUAUAUAUAGGAGUAGGACUUGUGUGCUAUUAGGAGUACGAAGGCCAGAUAAUGGAACUUCCAAAUCGACAAUUAACUCCGUUAAACUUGAUCUAGCAUAUUUAAAAUAUCUAGAAAAUAAAUUGUGAUUUUUUGAUUAAUUACAUAGCGAUUGAAAGGACUCAAAAUCAACGGUUGAAAAUAAAAAUUUUACAAAAAAUUAUGAUAUUGCAUUAAAAUUUUCGAUCGAAGAUAUUAAUCUUGCUGUAGAUAGUAUAAAGAAUUUUCUAUCAAAAUUUUAUCUGAUUUGAAUACUUCUACAUUAUUAAUAUUGCAAACGGCACACACCAACCAUUAAAAAUUGUUGAUUUUGAACCCUUUUGAUCAUUAGGUAAAUGAUAUCGAAAAAUCGCAAAAUUUAUUUUUCAUAUACUUCAAACACGCUAGAUCAAGUCUAACAGAGUUGAUUGUCAAUUCGGAAGUUUAAUCAUCGAAAACGUCUUAGGAGCAUGAAGGCCUCCGUGCUCCUAAUAGCACACAAGUCCUACUCCAUAUAUAUACACACACACACACACGUGUAUAUAUAUAGAGAGAGAGAGAUAGAGAGAGAGAGAGAGUAGGUCUUGUGUGCUAUUACGAGCACGGAGGCCUCCAUGCUCCUAAGCCAUUUUCGAUGAUGGAGCUUCCGAAUCGACAAUCGGCUCCAUUAGACUUGAUCUAGCGUAUUUGAAGUAUCUAGAAAAUAAAUUUUGCGAUUUUUUGAUAUUAUUUACAUAGCGAUCGAAAGUGUUCAAAAUCAAAGGCUAAAAAUAAAAAUCUCACAAAAAGUGGUGAUAUGGCACUAAAAUUUUCAAUCAGAGAUAUUAACUUGCAGUACAUAAUACAAAAAAAAAAAUUUGUCAAAAUUUCAUCUGAUUUGAAUACUACACCGUUAAACUUAUAAAGGAUAUAUAUCAAUCAUUUUUAACGGUGUAGAAGUAUUCAAAUUAGAUAAAAUUUUGAUAGAAAGUUUUUUGUACUAUUUACUGCAAGUCAAUAUCUCUGAUCGAAAAUUUUAGUGCUAAAGUAAUGAUAUAGCACUAAAAUUUUCGAUCAAAGAUAUUGACUAGCAAUAAAUAGUACAAAAAAUUUUCUAUCAAAAUUUCAUCUGAUUUGAAUACUUCUACAUUGUUAAACUUGUAAACGAUAUAUAUCAACCAUUAAAAAUGAUUGAUUUUGAAUCCUUUCGAUCGCUAGGUAAAUAAUAUCGAAAAAUUACAAAAUUUAUUUUCUACAUACUUCAAAUACGGUAGAUCAAGUCUAACGGAGCCGAUCGCAUUAAGAAAGUGCCCGAUCAUGAAAAAUGGCACUUACAACACGGAUGGCUCUAUGCUCCAAUAAGCACACAAGCUCCUACUAAUAUAUAUAUCAUGAGAGAGAAGAGAGAGGAGAAUUUAGGCUACUAUCACUACCCUUAGUACAGAGCUUCGUACUAGUUAGUUCUUGUUUCGAUCUUAGGGUGUUCAAAUUAACAUACAGCACCGUAAAAUAUGAUCUAGCUGUAUAUGAAGUUCUUAGAAUAAAAUUUAGUUUUUUUCGAUAGUCGUUUUACUAAGUAAAAUAAUUAUGUCAAAAUCGUCGGGAAUUAAAUAAUCUUUAAAAUUUGAGCAGGUUGAAAUUCAAGAUCAGGUAAUGCUUAACCUUGAAUCUAGUAGUUUAAAGUAUUUCAAUCAAAAUGUAAGAAAUUUAGAUUCUUCCAUGACACCUUAAACUCCAAAUUCGCACAUAGAGCAUGAAAUUUGACGAAUUUUGAAAAUAGUUUUAUCAUAAAGUAAAACUAUGGCUCGAAAAAAUAUAAAAUUUUAUUUCUAAAACUUUAAUACCCUUAGAUCAGUUCUUAACGGUGUGGAUCGUAAUUGAUUUGAACACCCUUAGAUCGAAACACGGGACUAUAGAUCCGAGCCCCCGAUACUAUAGAUAGUACAGCGAGACUAGCUCCUGAUAUAUAUAUAUAUAGUAGGGCUACUAUACUCUUACGAGUAUAGAGCCCUUUGUACUCAUAAGUUGUUUUCGAUGAUGGGGCUUCUGAAUCGACGAUCUACUCCGUUAAAUAUGAUCUAAAGUAUUUGAAACUUCUAAAAAAUAAAUUUCGUAAUUUUUCAAAAUCAUAAUAAAGUCCAUCAAGAGGCCAUAAAAUGAACGGUCAAAAUCAAACGACGUCCUAAAAAUGGAUGAUCCGAUCCUUCAAUUUAAGAUUGAAGCUAUUGAUUUUUAUCUAGGUAGUGAAUAGAAUUUUCUAUCAAAAAUUCAACAUAUUUCAAUUUUUUUACACCGUUAAACUAGCAAGUAUCCCAUACCGGCCGUUAAAAAUUGGCAAUUUUGUGAGCUUUUGAUUGUAAGUUAAAUAAUAUCGAAAAAUUAUGAAAUUUGAUUUCUAUAAGUUUUAAAUGCUCUAGAAAAUGUUUAAUGGUAUGGAUCGUCGAUUCGGAAGCUUUAUCAUCAAAAACGACUUAUGAGUACGAAGGCGAUCGUACUUAUAAGAGUAUAGUAGCCGGACUACAUAUAUAUAUAUAGAGAGAGUUGAACUGGAAUGCUAUCAGUAGCAAACGAGCUCCAUUGCCACCCAUUUGUUUUCGAUAAUGGAGCCUUCAAAUUAACGAUCGAUACCGUUAAACAUGAUCUAUACCACUUGAAAUAUCUAGAAACUAAAUUUCAAAUCUUUUCGGCACCAUUGACCUAAUGAUCAAAGGGUUUCAAAAUUUGUAAUUUUAAUGGUAGAUAUGAGGCGUUUUCUCGUUUAACGGUGUAGAGUUAUCCAAAUAAAUUGAAUUUAGGUUACAAAAUUCUUUAAGCUAUUUAGAACAAGAUCUAUACUCUCGAUCUUCAUUACAAAAUUUCUCUCAUCACUUUUCAGAGGAUAUUCAUUUUCAGCCAUUCAUUUUUACGUCCACUUGAUGGACAAGAGAACAAUAUCGGAAAAACAUGAAAUUUGAUUUCUAGAUACUUCAAGUGGUAUAGAUCAUGUUCAACGUACCGAUCGUCGAUUUGGAGGCUCCAUCAUUGAAAACAAAUGGGUGGCAACGGAGCCCGUUUGCUACUAAUAGUAUUCCAACUCAACUAUAUAUAUAUAUAUAUAUAUAUAUAUAUAUAUAUAUAUAUAUAUAUAGGCCGUGGCUACUAUACUAUUAUGAGUAUUGGAGCCCUCGUACUCAUAAGUUGUUUUCGAUGAUGGAGCUUCUGAAUCGUCGAUCCACUCCGUUAAAUAUGAUCUAGAGUAUUUGAAACUUCUAGAAAAUAAAUUUUGUAAAUUUUCGAAAUCAUAAUAAAGUCCAUCAAGCGGGCAUAAAAUGAAUGGUCAAAAUCGAACGACGUCCUAAAAAAGGAUGAUUGGAUUCUUCAAUUCAAGAUCAGAGUUAUUGAUCUUUAUCUAGGUAGGGAAUAGAAUUUUCUAUCAAAAAUUCAACAAAUUCCGAUUCUUUUACACCGUUAAACUAGCAAGUAUCUCAUAUCGGCCAUUAAAAAUUAUCAAAUUUGUGACCUCUUGAUCGUAAGGUAAAUGAUGUCGAAAAAUUAUAAAAUUUGAUUUCUAUUAGUUUUAAAUGCUGUAAAUAACGUUUAACGGUAUGGAUCGUCGAUUCGGAAGCUCUAUCAUUGAAAGACGCAUUUAUAAGUACCGAGAGCAUCGUACUCAUAAUAGUAUGGUAGCGGGACCCAUAUAUCAUUAUACUGUACCUAAUACAGUAAUUUAUCGAUUACGAAUCUCAUAAAUGGUGACAGCAUAGCAAUUUCAAGAAUCAUGUAAGAAUUAGGCCUAAAGAAAACAAUUAGAACGAAAAUUUAGCAAUCAUAAUUAGCAACGGCAAGAAAAGUCACCUGACUACCCUCUCAACCAACACUCACCAGCCCGAUAAACAAACAUAUAUAUAGAGGUCCGGCUGGGAUACUCAUGUUCCACAAGAUUGAUGCUAUCGAGUUUUUCCACCCUUAGAUUUAUAACCUUUUGAUUUUAUUACCCGUUAGAUUAUAUACAUUUCAACAGACCAACGACUAACCCUGGGCGCUCCACCCAUAUCUAACGUAUAUUUCUCAUCCGAUGAAGCUAAAAAACUAAUAGAACCAAGUCUUGUCGGUAAUCGAUAGUAUCCCAACCGACUCUCAUCUCUCCUCCUCUCUCUCUCCAUCUCUCUCUCUACUUAUAUAUAUAUAUAUAUUACUAUAUAUAUAUACGAGAGAAGAGAGAUGAGACCUGAGGAGUGUGAGGCGGUUGGACACCCGACGCGAUGGGGCCGGCGUUAGAGGAUAAGAUGGGAGUCGAGGAGAGAGAGAGUUUGGGGACUGGAAUACUAUUGCAUAGUAUUUACCCCCCUUUUGCUAUCAGAUUUUUAACCCUCGAUUGGAUGAGAAAUUGUUGGUUAGGGAUGAUAUUAUGUCCCUUAGGGCUGAGGUGGUCCCACGGCGUUAAUUAAAUUUAAUCCAUAUGAUUAGAAAUGAUCAAAGGAAUUAUCCAAAGGCUUAUAAACUUGAUAGGCAAAAGGACAAAUAUAUAUAAUAGUAUUCUAACCAACUAUAUAUAUAUAUAUAUAUAUAUAUAUAUAUAUAUUAAUAUAUAUAUAUAGUUGCCUAGAAUUACUAUCGAUGCAACGAGCUCCGUCUGCACCAUAUUGUUUUACGAGAUGUCGAGCCAUCCAAAUCUGCGAUGGCACGUUUGAACAUGAUCUAUACCACUUGAAUGUUUAGAAAAUCAAAUUUCAUAUUUUCGAUAUUAUUCUCUUAUCCAUCGAGUGGACACAAAAAUGAAACGGUGAAUGAAAUAUUCUUUAAAAAAUGAUGAUAGGAGUCUUGUAAUCAAGAUCAAGAGUAUAGAUCUUGUUAAAUAGUUAAAAAAAUUUUCAAAUAAAAUUCAAUUGAUAUUGGAUAUCUUCUUGCGCUUAAACAAGAAACGUCUCAUAUCGACCAUUUAAUUUACAAAUUUUAAAAACCCUUCGAUCAUUAGGCAAUAUAAUGUCGAAAAGAUUUGAAUUCGAUUUCUAAACACUUCAAAGUGGUAUAGCUCAUGUUCAACUCGGUACCGUAUCGUCGAUUUGGAGGCUCCAUCAUCGAAAACAAAUGGGUGGCAACGGAGCCCGUUUGCUAUCGAUAGUAUUCUAGCUUAACUCUAUAUAAAUAUAUAUAGAGUUGAGCUAGAAUACUAUCGAUAGCAAACGGGCUCCGUUGUCACCCAUAUAUAGAGUUGAGCUAGAAUACUAUCGAUAGCAAACGGACUCCGUUGCCACCCAUUUAUUUUCGAUGAUGGAGCCUCCAAAUCGACGAUCGGCACCGUUGAACAUGAUCUAUCCCACUUGAAGUGUUUAGAAAUCGAAUUUCAUACAUUUCCAAUAUUGUUCUCUUAUCCAUCGAGUAGACACAAAAAUAAACGGUUGAAAAUGAAUAUUCUUUAAAAAAUGAUGAUAGAAUUCUUGAAAUCAAGAUCAAGAGUAUAGAUCUUGUUUUAUAUAGUUUAAAGAAUUUUCUAACAAAAAAUUAAUUGGUUUGGAUAUCUUUACACUGUUAAACGAGAAAACGACUCACAUCGACCAUUAAAAUUAUAAAUUUUGAAACCCUUUGAUCAUUAGACAAAUGAUGUCGAAAAGAUUUGAAAUUUGAUUUCUAAAUACUUGAACUGGUACAAAUCAUGUUCAACAGUACCGAUCGUCGAUCUGGAGGCUCUAUCAUCGAAAACAAAUGGGUGGCAACGAAGCCCGUUUGCUAUCAAUAGUAUUCUAGUUCAACUAUAUAUAUAUAUAUAUAUAUAUAAAUAGAAAGAGAUAGUGAAAAAGAGAAAAGAGAGUACGUCUCAUGUGCUUUCGAAAGCACGAAGGCCUCCGUGCUUGUAAGUUAUUUUUGAUGAUGGAACAUCCAAUUCGACGAUCGGCUCCAUUAGGCAUGAUCUACGUUAUUAGAACUACUAAGAAACCAAAUUUCAUAAUUUUCCAACAUCAUUUACCAAAUGAUCAAAGGGUCUCAAAAAUGACUAUUUUAAUGGCCGAUAUGGCACGUCCCUAAGCUCAACAAUGUAGAACAAUCCAAAUUAGGUGAAAUUUUAAUAGAAAAUUCUACUUACCAUCAAGAGAAAGAUUUGAAAGUUGUCUUUUAUCAUUGUUUUCCAUAGGAUUUUUAUUUUCAGUCGUUCAUUUUAAGGCUAUUCGUACACUAGGCAAACAAAGUCAAAAAAUUGUGAAAUUUAAUUUCUAGAUAGUCCAACAUGGUAGAUCAUAUCUAACAUAACCGAUCGCCGAAUCAAAGUUCCACGUGACCGAUCGCCGAAUCAAAGUCAAAAAACGGUUUGAUCCGUAAAACACCUAUUAAACAUCAAAGUUCCAUGUGACCUCUUCAAUCGAAGAGCCCUAUUUGGCUUUACAGAAUAGCCACUUAAAUUAAUUUAUGUAAUCUGAAGAUUAAUCAAAGCUGAAAAAAUUUCCAGUUGUUAGGACUUGCAAUGUUCCAUCUCUUGAUACCACUCUUGUUUUAUUUUAUUAUCAGAAUUCUUUAUCGCUAUACUCACCAUUGAAUAAUUCCUAUUGAGGCAUUUUGCAGCAGAUCAAAAGAUCUAAACACAUCCAUUUCCCUAGAGUUUGGUGUCUUGCAUAUGUUAGUCUUCAAAGAUUUUUGAGAAUUCCUUUAUUCUGUUGCAUUUUUUUUUAAAUUAAGGCACGGAAUCCAGUAUUGUCUUAAUGCAGUUAAGAUAGCAAUUCAUGAGAUAUUAUCUCAUGAGUCAUGACAAAUGAAGGAAUGCAAUAGUAUCGAUGUGAUAAUAGCAUUAAAAGGAGAGGAUUUCUAGUAGAAUCUGAUAUUGAAGAGCUAAGAAUGUAUUUUUCCUUUAAUUUCAGAACUAAAAUAUUUUUUCUUUUCAUUACCAGCGCCAAGUAAAGCUCACAGCUCAUGAGCCAGCUCGAUCUCGGUUCCUUUAUAGCCCUACUCAAGCUAGUUUGUUUGUCAGACAAGCCAAUCUCAAGCAAGGAUUUCGGGCACGCUUUUGUAAAUGAGCUCUAGCCUCACUCGAGUUCAGCUCAUAUUAGCUUGAAUAUUGCUCCUAUUUAGUACGCUUCUUAAGCCUGUCGAUCCAAUAGCCUGAGUGACCACUGUACAACCUAGGGUUCUACCCAAGAAUAUAAGUGUCCAUCAACACAGGCCAUAUCCACCGUGUCGUAUCAUACCAAUAAAAUAUCGAUACGAUAUAGCCCUCAUGCCGAUGGCACAGCUCAAAACUCUCUUUUCUUUAAAUUAGUAAGUUAUUUUUUCAAUAAAGUUCAAAAGACUUGAUCAAGAUACAUAAUAAGCAAAGAAUAUUUUGCUGCUAAAGAAAAUAAAUAUUUCAUGCAAUUAUGUGUCGGCACACAAGUAUUUUUUGUGACUGGCACGCAUCGGCACAGUCCGGCACACCGUGUCAUACCGCACCGGCAAGUUUUCGACACGACCCCAUGUCAAGGCACUUAAAUUCUUGGUUCCACCAAAAUCCCAAAUUCCAAUACAAUAGUAAUUAUCUCAGCUAACUUGGGGAAGCAAAACGGCAACGCCUCCACCUCUAUCCUCCCACACUGAUAGCAAAAUAUGGUCAUGCUUCAACCUCUCCUCCGAAAUGAGUUGCAAGACCAACCAUGCUAAUAGUAGGGACAACCUGUCCAUGUCUUAUCCUAUGGAACAGCACAAGAGAUGCCUCCACGUCUCUUCACAACAAAUUCAAAAAGCCAAGCUCAAGCUAACCCGGUAUAUAGGAAAUUGAUCUCAAGCCAUCUGUGGUCCAACACGAUUCAAGCUCAAGCCGAGUUCAAGCUAGCCUUUCAGCAUCUUUGUGUCAGCCCAAGCUGAGAUUAUCUCGGCUGGUUUACACCCCUACUCUUCAUUAAUAGAAAUCGGAAGGCAACCAACGCACAAGCAACGCCGCAAGAGAGGUCAAAACUAAUUAAACCCUCCACUGUGCUUUCUUGAAUAGCUCCUCUUUCUUUAAAAGCCCUAUCUAACCCAAUGUUACCUAGAACGGGAUUCGCCGUGGUGCGUGGUACAGGUACAGGAACGUGAUUUGCUAGUUUGCGGUACAAGGGAGAGAGGGUAGGGGUGGUGUUCUGAAGGGUUAGCUGUCGGAAUGCUAUAAUAGCAGCAGUUAGUCAACAUAUAUGUAGAGUGUCAGGAUCGAUCGAAGUCGUUUCGAUGUGAAAUGGACGCGAAAACAAACUCGGAGCACUAAAACCAGCCAAAACUAGAGUUCUGGCAGUUUCGAACGCCCAGAAAGUGAAACUAGGCACCCAGAUCUUCACUGCAAUGUUGUUGUUGCUAUUGAAGUCAUUUCGGGCCCUCAUUCGGGUGCUCGGAUGUCCACCUGGAUUGCCCCACGUGUGUAACGAUCUUCUACGACACAUGGUAGGUGGCAGCUUUGGAUACGAGCGAUGGAUAAGGUUUCAGACCCUCUUGCAGUUAGCCCGGAUUUGGAUCCGAACUGCGUUUUGCACAGUUUCAGGCACCCGGAUGUGAGUUUAGGGCGCCCGAAUGUGGGGAUUUCUACAAGUGGCAAGUUUAAAUUCUAUUCUUCUUUGGGCUCACUUUACCUCUAUAUAUAGAUUAUGUAAGCCCCUCACAACCUCUUUUCCUUCUCCUUCACCUGGAAACUCAAUUCUCACAGCAAAUCCAUCACCAAAACCUCUCUAAUUUCCCUUCUUUUCCCUGCAGGUACAGUAGCAGCAGCAAGAACAGCACCAGUAACAGCAGCUUGGUUGGGAGUUAGUUGAUUAGGGAUUUGUAAUUGUUGCUGAGGUUUUGGUUUGUGAUUUUGAUGGUAGAAGAGAGGUUGUGGAGCAAUUCCUGCAUUCUAAUUCCAGGCUAGUAGCUUUAAAUUGGAGAGAGUGGUAGUUGAGCUAAAUUUUGGAGUUUUGUUGAUUUUCUCCAAUUUCUUGAUUCGAUUCUUUCUAGUACAGUUAUUGCUGGAUUCUUGUGGGUUCGAAGCUACUUCUACCUAGAUUACAGGUUAGUGAGCUGAGAUUAAUGGUCAAAUCGAGUUUUUGGAACCGAAUUGAGCUUUCGAUGGAAAUUUUAAAUCCAAUCUCUUUCCAGUAAUUCUCUUGUUUGGAGAUGUGUUUAGUUGGACUUUUUCACCUGUUUUGGAGCAGAGGGGCUUGAGGAAUUUCAUUCUAGCUGGUAGCAAGGUAGAAUGAUCUACAUUUUAGUAAAAUUCAGAUUUUUGCUUUAAAUUCCAGCAUUGAUGAAUUUUACUAUUGAUCUAGAUUAGCUCCUUGCUGAUUUUGAGAGGUCUUUUUCACUGAAUUCCUGCCGGGCUUGGGGCUGAGGAGAGGUGUAUUCGUGAUUGAACCCUUGCCAUCAUUGGAUUAGCACACAAGAUGAGUUAAUUUACCGAAAAUGACAAAACACUCAUUAUGUCUAGCCAAUUCUGCAUGCAUGCUGAUUUCUUAUUCUAGUUAAAUGUUCUAACCUAAUAUCCUGAGAAAUGCAUGUGAGAUGCUGAUUUUCUGUGUUAGAACUCCUCAAACCUGCAUGUAGAGAAUUUUAUAUGCUGAAAUUGGACUAUAUACAUGUACAAAAAUCUGCGCUAUUCCUCCCCGACGCUCCGUCUUUAGUAUUUAGUGUCAUUAGCUGUUUUUGUCUGUUUUUCACCCUAGCUAAGGGUAUUGAGCAUAUGGAUUAGUGUAGGCUGGCUUUAUGCUCGUGCUAAGGGGACCGAGUGAAUUUUUACAGCAGUUGUUAAACUAAAUUGUACAAUAGAGUGCCGUCUGGGUUGACGGUAGUCCCGGAUCAUCGAGUUUUGUACUGGAUUAUGCCUCCGGCACAUGGAUUACAGUUUGAUGAUCUGAUUGAUGAUUCACAUCGACUACAGCCUACAUGAACCAAAUUCGAGCUCGAUAGAGACUACACUUUUUGCUCGGCGGGGUAGCUCCCCUAAGUGCCGCUCCGGAGUGAAGCUUUAUGCAUUAGUUUUGCAGCAACCCUUUUGGGCGACCUACAUUUGACCGGCCACCCUCGAGGUGGUGCUGUGGUAGUAGGUUGGCGCAGACUUGACCGGACCUUGGAGGUGGUUAUUUGGAUUGGAUUUGGAUAGCGAGUGCCUGAUAGCUAGCUGAUGCAUUCAUCACAUCUUGUAGUUUCAUUUUGAGCACUAGUAUAGAGGCAUAGUAGUUGUAAAUUCUUUUCCAACUUUUACUACAAUCUGCUCUACAGUUUAUCCAGUUCUUUACUUUUCACCUCUAAAAGACCUAGUGGGUAGGUCGUCGUCAUCGAUAACAGUACCGACUGAGAACUACUCGUUUACAGUAGUUCUCACACUCUUCGUUGUUGACCUUUCCUUGUAGAGCCUUCCACCUCUGUCACUGUUUUUGAUUGAGAUAAGAGAGUCGCGAAUUAAUUCCUUACCUUCUCGUGCUGGCCGAGUUGGAGGAGCACCAUUGUAGCUGGUUUUUGAAGAGUAGUUCAUUGUACAUACUACAUCGACUAGCGGACUGAUGCUUACGCUUUUACCUUCGGUUGUCUGAGGUGGCUUUGUACUUGGUGGAGAUGUAUUAUUGUACUAUUUUGGGAUGUGUGUAUGUAUGUACAGUGGACUAUGUUUUAGCUUUUAGCAGUUUUAUUUCAGCUCCGAUUUCUAUUUAUAGUAGACUCUAGAAUUAUUUUCUGGUUAUGUUUUGCUUCAUGUACACAGGGCAUUCUGUGUAUGCCGCAGGUCUAUUGGCAAGCCCGAGUUCCGCCAUAACACGGGGCGUAACAUGUAGAACUAGUCGAAACGCUAUUCUGAAAUGUGGUUCAUUUAGAACGUUAGCAUCAAUAUUCCAAAAUGCAGUAUGCAGUGUUCAUGUGGUUCCCCACCAUAGCGCAUGCAGAUGCAUAUGCAGUCUAACUAUUAAUAUAUUAAAAAGUAUUUAUAGGUACUAAAAAUAUAUAUAAAUACUUGCUAACAAAGCUAACUACCUAAAAUAAUAAUUUAGAAUUCACCAAUUGAAAUAAUUAAUUUCAAGUAAGACCUCAUACGUAAACAUGUACCACUAAACUAAUAAUUAGCAAUUUACUCAUCAUUAUUAAAUAGAGAAAUAAAUAGAAUUUUGAUGCAAAAUUAUAAAAAAAUGCCAAACAAAAAUCAAUGUUCUAAAAAACAAUAUGCUAAACUUUUAUGAAGAAUAAUAAUUUUUUCAAUAAACUAUCAUUCAAGGAUUUAAGUGCCAUUAGUAGGGGUCGUAUCCACCGCGCCAUAUCAUGUCAACAAGAUAUCGGCACGAUACAACCCCCGUGCCGAUAGCAGAACACAAGACCUUAUAUUCUUUAAAUUAGUAAGUAAUUUUCUCAAUAAAGUUUAAAAGAGUUGAUAAAUAUACAUAAUAAAUAAAUAGAAUAUUUUGUUGUUAAAGAAAAUAAAUAUUUCAUGCCAUUACGUGUAGGCAUACAUAUUUUUUUGUGACUGGCAUGCAUCGGCACGGUUCGGCACGCACUGUGCCGUACCAUGUUGGCAAGUUUCCGGCACUACCCCGUGCCACGGCAUUUAAAUCUUUGCUAUCAUUCACGUCAUCUGACAGGCCAACACUUAAAUAAAAUAUAUAAUACUAUCUAACAACUAUAAAAUUAUCCACUAAUAUUUACAAACAUAAUUAUUAGAUAUCUUAGGAAUAAUACCCACUAAAAUAAGAAGAGAGAUAGUUAGAUUAUGUUUAUAUAAAGAUAAUUGGAUUUAUAUACAUUAUUAACUAAACUUGUAUGAAAAUAGAUAUGUACAUGUAUAAUCAAUAACCAAACAAUCUCACUCAACAUUGUUUUUUAAUCCCAUCUUCAAAAAAUGUUGCAUAGGUGGCAGCCUUUACCAUGCGUCUGCUUUUCUGUUCCUGUAGGCUUUGGAAGUUCGGAUGACCAUACCUAUAAACUGCAUAUGUGGCUGCAUAUGUGGCCACCUACUGCAUCGCACAUUAUAUAUGCGGUGCAGUUGUUAGUACAAACCGCAUAUGCGACUGCAUAUAUCGUUUUUUGGAACAUUGAUCAACAUAUAUAGAAAAGUCAAUAACUACUUUUAUUACCGUAUGGUUCUUUUUAUUCAUUACGGUCGGAUUGGGUACUCUCCUUUCUAAUCAAAACUUCUUCAACUUUUUUCCAUUCAAAUAUGACUCUUUUGUAUUAUUUGUUCUAAUAAUAUACAUUUCUUUCAGAAAACUAAACAAAUUACAUCUAGAAAAAUUGAAGUACACUUCUACUAUUCUGGUUCGCCACUUUUUAUGGUCCGGGUCAGGUACCUACUGUGAAUCAGUACGUGUGAUCUAGAUUGCAGUUCGAAGGGGGGUCUACAACCCCGGUAACUAUGAUCUAACCAAAUUUCCAACUAUAUAUUACUUAAUAUUCACUAGCCCGUGGAAAAGUUUUCAGUAUUAAAUUACCCUUUUAUAUUUCAGACAGCCUACAGCUAGCAGAAAAGCUCCAAAACAUCCCAGUUUUAUCCAACUUCUAACAGCUUUUUUUAAUGUUCUAUUAUUUUCUUCAAGUUGCGUAUCUCUAUCACUUGCUGCUCCUUUACUUUUACAAAAUAGUAUGAGACGCGAUCUAAACCAAACUUUUACGGCCCUUCAGUGGUUAUGCUUAUAUUUAUUGUUUUCAGUUUUUACUGUUAUAUCUAAAUUGGUCCAACCGAUGAGAAAAGCACGACACUGACAUUAACAGCUGAAUGAACCAUUUAAAUCAGAGCAUUAAGAAUACCGUUCAUACAUCAUAAGAACAAAACCUGCUUAAACCAAUACAGGAUGAAGGAUUGACUGCUUCAUAUUGAAUAAAUUUACAAGGAGACACAUAUUUAAGACAUCAAGACCAAUCAAAGAAAGCGGGAGCAAUAUUUCUUCUUAGAGGAAAUCGAAGUUAAAAAGUCAAAGCAUCAAAUCAAUAGCUUUAAUUAUAUUUAAAGAGUCUCCUUUUCCUUUGAUUCUUGUAAUCAUUACGAACAAACAAGAUGAAAUAUAAAAGAUCAGAAGAUUCAAAUUAAGCAAGAGGAAUCAAUACAUCACAUAAGACAAAACAUUAACACAUCGAGCAACAAAGAAAUCUAUAAACCACAAAUCCUGGAGAAAUGAAGACAACAGAAUAAGUAAACAAUAAUAACACAAACACAUGACAUCAAGCGAUCACAUGCGAGCAAAGAGAGAGAGAGAGAGAGAGAGAGAACAGGGAACUCACCGAUCGAGUCUCGUAGAGGUCGAAGCUCUGAAGGUAGCAUCCGUGGGCGACCGGUUCUUCCGCGAUCGGCGCCGCGGCGCCGUUCUCUACCGCCAUUCCCGACCAGAUCCCGAGCCCCGGGCUCGGGCCCGCUCACACGCGCAUCCAAGAAUCGCCCGGAUCACCACUCGGCCGCGCGCCCUAAACCUAGAUCCCCGCCGGGUUGCUUCAGAUACAGCAUCUCCUCCCCGUCCCCCCGCUGUUCUCCCUCCUCCUCCUCCUCCUCCUCACCCUCACCACCUCUCCAAUCCCUUCUCCUCCAUCAAACACCUCCAAAUCGAGCACAAAAUGGCGAACAACAGAUCGGGAAGCGAGGGGGAGGCUCGUCACCUCUACCGCUCGUCGCGACCUCGGGAUCUCCCGAUCGAGGAGACGCGGCGGAAUCGAGCGAAAACGAUUUCUCCGAGAAUUUGGCUUCGAUUUCGCCCUAGAAUUCGGUCUAUUCCGCUAGGAUUUAGGGUUCGAAUUGGGGAAUUGGGGGUGGGUCGGGGUUGCGGAGUGGAGGAGAGGUUCGAGAGAGAGCGAAGCGAAGCCACAGCUCAAUCCACACAAAAACACCCGACGAGUUGGAGGGGGACGGAGCAAAAAAAGAAAAUAGAAAA